ACGACAUGAUGGGAACAUUUUUGAAUGAGGUCCUUUAAUCUUUCCCAUGAAGCAUGGAACUACUCACCAUCUUGUUGCGAAAAGCUAGUGAGAUCUCAUCUUAUCUG
rfam:Cephalotus follicularis DNA, scaffold: scaffold884, isolate: St1.